rnacentral:rRNA from 1 species
AGAGUUUGAUCCUGGCUCAGGAUGAACGCUGGCGGCGUGCUUAACACAUGCAAGUCGAACGAUGAAAGCGGGAGCUUGCUCCUGCUGGAUUAGUGGCGAACGGGUGAGUAACACGUGAGUAACCUGCCCUUGACUCUGGGAUAAGCGUUGGAAACGACGUCUAAUACCGGAUACGACCUUCGGAGGCAUCUCCUGGGGGUGGAAAGAAUUUCGGUCAAGGAUGGACUCGCGGCCUAUCAGCUAGUUGGUGAGGUAAUGGCUCACCAAGGCGACGACGGGUAGCCGGCCUGAGAGGGUGACCGGCCACACUGGGACUGAGACACGGCCCAGACUCCUACGGGAGGCAGCAGUGGGGAAUAUUGCACAAUGGGCGCAAGCCUGAUGCAGCGACGCCGCGUGAGGGACGACGGCCUUCGGGUUGUAAACCUCUUUUAGUAGGGAAGAAGCGAAAGUGACGGUACCUGCAGAAAAAGCACCGGCUAACUACGUGCCAGCAGCCGCGGUAAUACGUAGGGUGCAAGCGUUAUCCGGAAUUAUUGGGCGUAAAGAGCUCGUAGGCGGUUUGUCACGUCUGCUGUGAAAACUGGAGGCUCAACCUCCAGCCUGCAGUGGGUACGGGCAGACUAGAGUGCGGUAGGGGAGAUUGGAAUUCCUGGUGUAGCGGUGGAAUGCGCAGAUAUCAGGAGGAACACCGAUGGCGAAGGCAGAUCUCUGGGCCGUAACUGACGCUGAGGAGCGAAAGCAUGGGGAGCGAACAGGAUUAGAUACCCUGGUAGUCG